GCUUAACGCGAAGAACCUUACCUGGGCUCGAACGGCGGACGACGUCUCUUAGAAAUAGGAGAGUUUCCUUCGGGAACGGCCGUCGAGGUGCUGCAUGGCUGUCGUCAGCUCGUGUCGUGAGAUGUUGGGUUAAGUCCCGCAACGAGCGCAACCCUUGUCCUGUGUUGCUAAUCUUCGGAUGCACUCUCAGGAGACCGCCAGCGACAAGCUGGAGGAAGGUGGGGAUGAUGUCAAGUCAGCAUGGCCUUUAUGUCCAGGGCUACACACGUGCUACAAUGGGCAGGACAGACCGUUGCAAACCCGCGAGGGGGAGCUAAUCGGAGAAACCUGUUCUCAGUUCGGAUUGCAGGCUGCAACUCGCCUGCAUGAAGCUGGAAUCGCUAGUAAUGGCAGAUCAGCAUGCUGCCGUGAAUACGUUCCCGGGUCUUGUACACACCG
rnacentral:rRNA from 1 species